AGCUUUGCGCAGUGGCAGUAUUGUAGCCAAUGAGGUUUAUCCGAGGCACGAUUAUUGCUAAUAGAUUCUACAUAUAAGCAAUGUCCUAUGGUAUUUGUCUUUUUCUGAUUUACUUCACUUAGU
rnacentral:snRNA from 1 species